AGCUUGCUAGAGUUGGAAGAGUUGCGAACGGGUGAGUAACGCGUAGGUAACCUGCCUAUUAGCGGGGGAUAACUAUUGGAAACGAUAGCUAAUACCGCAUAAUAGUGUUUAACACAUGUUAGAGACUUGAAAGAUGCAAUUGCAUCACUAGUAGAUGGACCUGCGUUGUAUUAGCUAGUUGGUGGGGUAACGGCCUACCAAGGCGACGAUACAUAGCCGACCUGAGAGGGUGAUCGGCCACACUGGGACUGAGACACGGCCCAGACUCCUACGGGAGGCAGCAGUAGGGAAUCUUCGGCAAUGGGGGCAACCCUGACCGAGCAACGCCGCGUGAGUGAAGAAGGUUUUCGGAUCGUAAAGCUCUGUUGUAAGAGAAGAACGUGUGUGAGAGUGGAAAGUUCACACA
rnacentral:rRNA from 1 species